GUAGUCAUAUGCUUGUCUCAAAGAUUAAGCCAUGCAUGUCUAAGUAUAAGCGACUAUACGGUGAAACUGCGAAUGGCUCAUUAAAUCAGUUAUCGUUUAUUUGAUAGUACCUUACUACAUGGAUAACCGUGGUAAUUCUAGAGCUAAUACAUGCUAAAAACCUCGACUUCGGAAGGGGUGUAUUUAUUAGAUAAAAAACCAAUGCCCUUCGGGGCUCCUUGGUGAAUCAUAAUAACUUAACGAAUCGCAUGGCCUUGCGCCGGCGAUGGUUCAUUCAAAUUUCUGCCCUAUCAACUUUCGAUGGUAGGAUAGUGGCCUACCAUGGUAUCAACGGGUAACGGGGAAU
rnacentral:rRNA from 1 species